rnacentral:rRNA from 1 species
UACGUAGGGUGCGAGCGUUGCCCGGAUUUAUUGGGCGUAAAGGGCGCGUAGGCGGCCACGCACGUCCGUUGUGAAAUCGCCCGGCUCAACUGGGCGGGGUCAGCGGAUACGGUGUGGCUCGAGCAAGCUAGGGGGCAAUGGAAUUCCCGGUGUGAGUGGUGGGAAUGCGUAGAUAUCGGGAGGAACACCAGUGGCGAAGGCGGUUGCCUGGAGCUUUGCUGACGCUGAGGCGCGAAAGCGUGGGGAGCGAGUCCGG